rnacentral:misc_RNA from 1 species
GAAUGAAGAACGUAGCGAAAUGCGAUAAGUAAUGUGAAUUGCAGAAUUCAGUGAAUCAUCGAAUCUUUAAACGCACAUUGCGCCCGCCAGUAUUCUGGCGGGCAUGCCUGUUCGAGCGUCAUUACAACCCUCAGGCCCCCGGGCCUGGCGUUGGGGAUCGGCGGAGCCCCCCGUGGGCACACGCCGUCCCCCAAAUACAGUGGCGGUCCCGCCGCAGCUUCCAUCGCGUAGUAGCUAACACCUCGCGACUGGAGAGCGGCGCGGCCACGCCGUAAAACACCCAACUCUUCUGAAGUUGACCUCGAAUCAGGUAGGAAUACCCGCUGAACUUAAGCAUAUCAAUAAGCGGAGGA